rnacentral:rRNA from 1 species
UACGUAGGGUGCAAGCGUUGUCCGGAAUUAUUGGGCGUAAAGAGCUCGUAGGCGGUUUGUCGCGUCUGCUGUGAAAUCCCGAGGCUCAACCUCGGGUCUGCAGUGGGUACGGGCAGACUAGAGUGUGGUAGGGGAGAUUGGAAUCCUGGUGUAGCGGUGGAAUGCGCAGAUAUCAGGAGGAACACCGAUGGGCGAAGGCAGAUCUCUGGGCCAUUACUGACGCUGAGGAGCGAAAGCAUGGGGAGCGAACAGG